rnacentral:rRNA from 1 species
AAUGAACGCUGGCGGCGUGCCUAACACAUGCAAGUCGGAUGUGCCGCAAGGUGCAUGGCAGACGGGUGAGUAACGCGUGGGGAACCUACCUCUUCGUGGGGAAUAACGAUCCGAAAGGAUUGGUAAUACCGCAUGAGACCGACGGCUGGGAUGCUGUCGGUGAAAGCUGGGGACCGGAAACGGCCUGGCGCGAGGAGAGGGUCCUGCGUCUGAUUGGCUAGUUGGUGGGGUAACGGCCUACCAAGGCAUCGAUCAGUAGCCGGCCUGAGAGGGUGAUCGGCCACACUGGAACUGAGACACGGUCCAGACUCCUACGGGAGGCAGCAGUGGGGAAUUUUGCGCAAUGGACGAAAGUCUGACGCAGCAACGCCGCGUGGGUGAUGAAGGUCUUCGGAUUGUAAAACCCUGUCGUCGGGGACGAAGGUAGGAGGGUUAAUAGCCCUUUUGCUUGACGGUACCCGGAGAGGAAGCCCCGGCUAACUCUGUGCCAGCAGCCGCGGUAA